CUAUUUCUGAAAGAAUUGUUUCUAUUCCUAUUUUCAUUCUUUUUUUUUCUUCUUCUUUUUUAAAUUAGAGAAUGUAUCCUGUAUUGGUUCUGGACAAAAUUGCUGCAGUUGGAAAUAAUGUCACAGGGAUAAGGAACUAUUCUGACAAAUAGUAACAUAUAUGUCCACAAAACCUGCUUUUCUCACUGUUCAGUUUUGAAUAUUGAAAUUCAAUCAAGCUUUUUUUCCCCCAGAAGUGACUUUGAGGUUAUUUCACUUUUGAAAUUUAAUUACUGGGGGGAUGAGAUUCCUUUUUCUUACACUGUAUCCUUCCCCUGUGUGAAGAAGUCCCUGGUAUGCUGUGGUUAAUGUGUGAUUAUCUCACUUUAACUUCAUAAAUCACUUGUGUACCUCACAAGUAGCAAACUGAGAAUAUUUUAAAUUAAUCUUUUGUAAAUUUAGGGGUGCUUAGUAAACAUUUUACCCUUAUAAAAUUUUGCAUUACCACAGCUAUAACAGAAGUAAUAAACUGGGUUAUAGGAGAUAGAAGCUAAGCUUUAUUUUUUAGAGAGUCGUAUAGUCAUUUAAUAACAGCAGAAUGUACAAGUGGUAAAUGCCAUAGAACUGAAGGUAGCAUUUAAGGUUUUAUUGAAAUAUUUUAUAUGGUAUGACAUCUGCAAUACAGAGAAUUGCUUUUAAGUAUAAUGGAAUCAGCAAAAAAAAAGCUUUAAUUAUUUGUUAAAAUUAUAUAAUGUUUCAUAUAUAAACAUAAAAUCAUGUAUAUGCAUAGGUGAAUAUGCCUUUUUAUAAAAAAUAUCAUUUAAAAUUUAACAUACCGUGAACAUCUCUAGAAGGAUUCAUUCCAUGUACGCAUUCUGAAAUAAUAGAAAGUAGGAAAAUAAAAAUAGUCAUAUGAAUAUACUUGCAACCAACUGACAGUUAAUGAAAUUUAAUUUAAAUAUAAUAACAGCACGUUUAAAAACAAUUUCUACUGAAUUAUUUUUUUGUUGUUGUUAGUUCAUGGCUUCUCAUACUUUUUAGUACUGGAGGUUUUUCACACCAUUGUCCAAAUAUAUCCAGCAUAUUUGGCACAAAACUAAAAACAGCAUAUCAAC
rnacentral:lncRNA from 1 species